rnacentral:tRNA from 1 species
AGGAUGAUAGUUAAUUAUAACAUUUGGGUUGCAUUCAAAAAGUACUAUAUAAAAUAGUUCAUCUUU